rnacentral:rRNA from 1 species
GACGAACGCUGGCGGCGUGCCUAAUACAUGCAAGUAGGACGCAGUUGCGAACGGGUGAGUAACGCGUAGGUAACUACCUAUUAGAGGGGGAUAACUAUUGGAAACGAUAGCUAAUACCGCAUACUAGUAGAUGGACCUGCGUUGUAUUAGGUAGUAGGUAGGGUAAUGGCCUACCUAGGCAACGAAACAUAGCCGACCUGAGGAGGUGAUCGGCCAACCGGGGACUGAGACAAGGCCCAGACUCCGACGGGAAGCAGCAGUAGGGAAUCUUCGGCAAUGGGGGGAACCCUGACCGAGCAACGCCGCGGGAGUGAAGAAGGUUUUCGGAGCGUAAAGCUCUGUUGUUAAGGGAGCGGUACUUAACCAGAAAGGGACGGCUAACUACGUGCCAGCAGCCGCGGUAAUUC